rnacentral:rRNA from 1 species
UACGUAGGGGGCAAGCGUUGUCCGGAUUUAUUGGGCGUAAAGAGCUCGUAGGCGGUUUGGUAAGUCUGGUGUGAAAUCUCCACGCUCAACGUGGAGGGGCCACCCGAUACUGCCAUGACUGGAGUCCGGUAGAGGAGUGUGGAAUUCCCGGUGUAGCGGUGAAAUGCGCAGAUAUCGGGAGGAACACCCGUAGCGAAGGCGGCUCUCUAGUACGGUACUGACGCUGAGACGCGAAAGCGUGGGGAGCGAACAGG